rnacentral:rRNA from 1 species
GCUUAACGCGAAGAACCUUACCCAGGCUUGACAUCCCUGGAAGGUCUCCGAAAGGAGACUGUGCCUUCGGGAAUCAGGUGACAGGUGCUGCAUGGCCGUCGUCAGCUCGUGUCGUGAGAUGUUUGGUUAAGUCCAUUAACGAGCGCAACCCUUGUAAGUAGUUGAAUUUUUCUACUUAGACCGCCUCGGUAACGGGGAGGAAGGAGGGGAUGAUGUCAGGUCAGUAUUGCCCUUACGCCUGGGGCUACAAACACGCUACAAUGGCCGGUACAAAGGGCAGCCAACCCGCGAGGGGGAGCAAAUCCCAUCAAAACCGGUCCCAGUUCGGAUAGCAGGCUGAAAUUCGCCUGCUUGAAGUCGGAAUCGCUAGUAACGGUGAGUCAGCUAUAUUACCGUGAAUACGUUCCCGGGUCUUGUACACACCG